GAGUAGAAUAUACUUGGUUUAAUUAUGGCAAAAGCGGGGCAACACUGCCACCUAUUGGCACGGUGGUAGUUAUGACAUUGUGUUUACGGAACUACACAGAGUGAUGCGGGAAGCGCAGUGACUGUUAUCCUGAGACCAAUGCGAUUGACAUACCACUGCUGUACUGUGUUACAGGUAAUAUCCUAUGCAUUUCUGUGUUAGUUUUCAAUAUGUUUCAUUGCAAUUAUUGUUCGUCCGCAUGAGCAGCUCUUUCUAACUGUUAAGUAGCUCACGCUAGUUUGGCUAGCUCAUAGUUAGUGAAGCAGCCUGUUGAUUAGGUGUGUAUGACGUAUACCUGUGCUGUGUUUAUGCUCACCUCAUGUUAAACGGCGAAUGGGUUUUCUGCCUUUUUCUUAUAUUAUAAAAUGGAUUACUGUGUGGUGUUUUCACCAAUAUAAUGUCAGUACAUAUGGAGGUAUAUUUGAUUGUGCAAAUGUGAAUACAUUGUAGCCUAAGCAUUGUACUGUAUUAUAAUACAUUAGGUAAUAUCCACUAUACGAUCACAUCCAGUUAGUAUAAUUUCUUUUGUUAUUAUUAUUAUUAUUUUUGUGAUGAGAUCACACAGAGUGAUGCGGGAAGCGCAGUGACUGUUAUCCUGAGACCAAUGCGAUUGACAUACCACUGCUGUACUGUGUUACAGAGCAAUAAGGAAGAGACAAUAAAGACCCCUGUAAUCCA